GUUGAAACACCAUUUCUCAUAAGAUCACAAAAGUUAAGCAACACCAAGCCUGGUUAGUACCUAGAUGGAUAACUGCUUGGGACUAGCAGGUGCUGUAAG